UCUGCGUUGGCCGACGCCCUGGGCAGCGGCCUGGUCGAGAGCCACGUUGAACCGGGCGUGGACGUUUGGGUUCGGGUCACCGCCGAGUCGUGGGUC
rnacentral:tRNA from 1 species